rnacentral:rRNA from 1 species
AGGUGCUGCAUGGCUGUCGUCAGCUCGUGUCGUGAGAUGUGGUUAAGUCCCGCAACGAGCGCAACCCUCGCCUUUAGUUGCCAGCAUUCAGUUGGGCACUCUAGAGGGACUGCCGGUGUCAAACCGGGAGGAAGUGGGAUGACGUCAAGUCCUCAUGGCCUUUAUGUCUAGGGCUACACACGUACUACAAUGGCCGGUACAAAGGGCAGCCACUCAGCGAUGAGGCGCUAAUCCCAUAAAGCCGGUCUCAGUCCGGAUCGCAGUCUGCAACUCGACUGCGUGAAGUUGGAAUCGCUAGUAAUCGUAGAUCAGCAUGCUACGGUCGAAUACGUUCCCGGGCCUU